AUGUAUGGGCGGUAGUGGUACCACGCUCGACCCAACUCAUGUCAGACCAGAGCUCCACCCUCGCCUCGAAGGGCAAAGCCUCGACGGCUGGCGGCGGCCGAAGCGAUGUCGCGGCGGCCGUUGGAGUGUCAUCUUGCGGCGUAAGACCCGGACUACCACCCACUGGCCAGACGACGGAGGAGGAGGAGGCGCGCGUCAGGCGCGAGGCGGAGAAAGCCGAGCUCGAGGAGGAGAUCGCCACGUUGAAGGCGGAGAUCUUCGCCCUGGAGGAAGAGUUGGCCAGGAUGGAUGCCGCCGCCGCCGCUACGCGCGCGAGCGCUUCUCACUCUCGUGUUUCAGCUAGGCCACUGUGAUUGGCUGGAGCUGUUGUCGUAGAUCUCGGAGGUAGGUAGAUGGAAUUCCCCAUUGCAAUUACUUCAGGUCAUGUUCUGCUGAAACAGCUGCAACGUUCUCGAAUUUUAUUGCCC